CAAGAGGAUUUCAACACAGCUCAUGAGCCAGGUUUUGGCACAGGCAAUUAAUGGCUGGAGAGGAGAACCUCACCAGACAUGGCAAGGUGUGUCUUCUGGUAAGGAGAAGGUGCUGUUCAUUUCAAACCGUGGUGCUGUGUUUCCUGAUACUGUGUGAUGAACAGAUGACUAUAUUUAUUAUUUCUCCAUGGAGACAAUCUCCCUCCUCCCCAUCAUCUGACUCUUCCUCUUUCUCCUUUGCAAUAAGAUAAGUAUGUAGCUCAUCUUUUGCU